AAGGAAGAAAAGCUUGGUUUUGCAAUUCAAGCAAGCUAAGCUUGAUGAUUAAUGUUUUGAAGGAAUAUUGGAGUGCAAGUACGGGUCAAGCAAUCAUAAAGUGAGAUUUAUUGUUGUUGCAACGAGAAACUCUCAAGUAGGUAGCCUUAAUCCAUGCUCUGAAUUUCAUUGUAGCGAGAAUGGAUUCUCACUGCAGCAAGGAAUUUCGCUGCAGCAAUAAUGGAUUCUCGCUGCAGCAAGAAACUCUCAGAUUUGGAGGUAGUUGGGACCUAAAUUGAGUUGUCCAUGUAUGCCCAUCUUUUGGUAGGUACUAUGACAUCUCGUAAUUGUACCUUCACCUAGAGUCACUCCGCUGAUGGCCAAGAGUCUGUAGCCUUUGAACACGUAUAUGUAAUGCAAUUGGCUAGGAUCAAUAUUAGAAGUCAAAUAUGUAUACUUAAUUACUAAUGCCACUAUGAGUUGGUAAAUGAGUGACAUUAUUUUGGCAUAAUACAAAUGUGAGUAUUUGAUUGCCAUAGUAUGUCAUUGAAUAUUUGAUAGUUCAGAAUUAUGA